GGUUGACCUCGGAUUAGGGUAGGAAU
rnacentral:rRNA from 4 species